AGUCAAUAGAUACCCCGGUAGUCCACGCCGUAAACGAUGAGUACUAGGUGUAGGAGGUAUCGACUCCUUCUGUGCCGCAGUUAAACACAAUAAGUACUCCGCCUGGGAAGUACGGUCGCAAGAUUAAAACUCAAAGGAAUUGACGGGGGCCCGGCACAAGCAGCGGAGCAUGUGGUUUAAUUCGAAGCAACGCGAAGAACCUUACCUAGACUUGACAUCUCCUGAAUAGCGCAGAGAUGCGUGAAGCCCUUCGGGGUCGAGGAAGACAGGUGGUGCAUGGUUGUCGUCAGCUCGUGUCGUGAGAUGUUGGGUUAAGUCCCGCAACGAGCGCAACCCCUAUUAUUAGUUGCUACCAUUAAGUUGAGCACUCUAAUGAGACUGCCCGGGGUUAACCGGGGAGGAAGGCGGGGAUGACGUCAAAUCAUCAUGCCCCUUAUGUCUAGGGCUACACACGUGCUACAAUGGUGAGAACAACGAGAUGCAAUACCGCGAGGUGGAGCAAAACUUGAAAACUCAUCUCAGUUCGGAUUGUAGG
rnacentral:rRNA from 1 species